rnacentral:rRNA from 1 species
GAAACCUAGCUUGGUAGGUGGAUUAGUGGCGAACGGGUGAGGAAUACGUGAGUUACCUACCUUUGACUCUGGGAUAAGCCUGGGAAACUGGGUCUAAUACCGGAUACGACCAAUCUCUGCAUGGGGUGUUGGUGGAAAGCGUUAUGAAGUGGUUUUAGAUGGGCUCACGGCCUAUCAGCUUGAUGGUGAGGUAAUGGCUUACCAAGGCGACGACGGGUAGCCGGCCUGAGAGGGUNCNGGCCACACUGGGACUGAGACACGGCCCAGACUCCUACGGGAGGCAGCAGUGGGGAAUAUUGCACAAUGGGCGCAAGCCUGAUGCAGCGACGCCGCGUGAGGGAUGACGGCCUUCGGGUUGUAAACCUCUGUUAGCAUCGAAGAACGAAAGUGACGGUAGGUGCAGAGAAAGCGCCGGCUAACUACGUGCCAGCAGCCGCGGUAAUACGUAGGGCGCGAGCGUUGUCCGGAAUUAUUGGGCGUAAAGAGCUUGUAGGCGGUUGGUCGCGUCUGCUGUGAAAGGCCGGGGCUUAACUCCGGUUUUGCAGUGGGUACGGGCUAACUAGAGUGCAGUAGGGGAGACUGGAAUUCCUGGUGUAGCGGUGGAAUGCACAGAUAUCAGGAGGAACACCGAUGGCGAAGGCAGGUCUCUGGGCUGUAACUGACGCUGAGAAGCGAAAGCAUGGGGAGCGAACAGGAUUAGAUACCCUGGUAG